rnacentral:sRNA from 1 species
CAAGAUUCUAAGAGAGAUUUUGCUGCUCUUUGAAGAAGGGUGUUUGCUUGAUUUUGGAGAUGUCGCUGCUCUCAGAUCU